CCUGAGAAACCCAAAAGAUCGAAUGGGGAGAUUCAUCGUCAGCUCAUUUUGUAUAUAUAUAAGUUAUGAUAUGGGUUACUACUUGUAGUAUUGCCUGUACAUUCUUGUAUAUUUAAUUGCAGAGUGUUGUCGGCGUGCACUUCUCCCCUAGUAGGACGUCGCGACCCGUUGAGUGUCGGUCUACGGCCCAAGUGGUAGCCUUUGAUUCUUUGAAUUAAAGACCCUUGGUGUUUCCUGGCUGGCUACUCGGCGGUAUUCGUACGGUAUUCAGCCGCAUUUAUGCGUUCAUAUCCGUCGCAAGCGCGGUCAAUUUUUAGUAGUACGGACCUAGUGCCGUCGCUAUAAUUGAUCAGCUGUUGGUUGUACGGUGUUCUAGAACUGGCUUUUAUACCGGUCA
rnacentral:rRNA from 1 species